GUGCCAGCAGCCGCGGUAAGACGAAGGUGGCAACCGUUGUUCGGAAUCACUGGGCAUAAAGAGCACGUAGGCGGCUGGGUAAGUCGGGUGUGAAAUACCUCGGCCCAACCGAGGAAUUGCGCCCGAAACUGCUCGGCUUGAGGACAGGAGGGGAGCGUGGAAUUCCUGGUGGAGCGGUGAAAUGCGUUGAUAUCAGGAGGAACACCGGCGGCGAAGGCGACGCUCUGGCCUGUUUCUGACGCUGAGGUGCGAAAGCCAGGGGAGCAAACGGGAUUAGAUACCCUGGUAGUCC
rnacentral:rRNA from 1 species